CCUACGGGAGGCUGCAGUGAGGAAUCUUGGUCAAUGGACGGAAGUCUGAACCAGCCAUGCCGCGUGCAGGAAGACGGCUCUCUGAGUUGUAAACUGCUUUUGUACAAGGGUAAACCUGAAUACGUGUCUUCCGCUGCCUGUACUUUACGAAUAAGGAUCGGCUAACUCCGUUCCAGCAGCCGCGGUGAUACGGAGGAUCCAAGCGUUGUCCGGAUUUAUUGGGUUUCAGGGGUGCGGAGGCGGGUUGGUAAGUUAGAGGUGAAAUGGCCGGGCUUAACUCGGGAACGGCCGCGAAUACUGUGGAGCUAGAGAGUAGAUGCGGUGGGCGGAAUGGAUGGUGUAGCGGUGAAAUGCGUAGAGAUCAGACAGAACACCGAUUGCGAAGGCAGCUUACCAAGCUGUAUCUGACGUUGAGGCACGAAAGCGUGGGGAGCAAACAGGAUUAGAUACCCCUGUAGUC
rnacentral:rRNA from 1 species